rnacentral:rRNA from 1 species
AUUGAACGCUGGCGGCAGGCCUAACACAUGCAAGUCGAACGAGUGGCGGACGGGUGAGUAAUGUCUGGGAAACUGCCCGAUGGAGGGGGAUAACUACUGGAAACGGUAGCUAAUACCGCGUACCAUAGGAUGAGCCCAAGUGGGAUUAGGUAGUUGGUGAGGUAAAGGCUCACCAAGCCGACGAUCUCUAGCUGGUCUGAGAGGAUGACCAGCCACACGGGGACUGAGACACGGCCCAGACUCCUACGGGAGGCAGCAGUGGGGAAUAUUGCGCAAUGGGGGCAACCCUGACGCAGCCAUGCCGCGUGUGUGAAGAAGGCCUUCGGGUUGUAAAGCACUUUCAGCGAGGAGGCGUUACUCGCAGAAGAAGCACCGGCUAACUCCGUGCCAGCCGCCGCGGUAAUAC